rnacentral:lncRNA from 1 species
GCGGCGUCCGGCAGCCCGUGGUACGGCCCCGACCGCGUCAAGUACCUCGGCCCCUUCUCCGGCGAGCCCCCGAGCUACCUGACCGGCGAGUUCCCCGGCGACUACGGCUGGGACACCGCUGGGCUGUCCGCUGACCCCGAGACCUUCGCCAAGAACCGCGAGUUGGAGGUCAUCCACUCCCGCUGGGCCAUGCUCGGCGCGCUCGGCUGCGUCUUCCCCGAGCUGCUCGCCCGCAACGGCGUCAAGUUCGGCGAGGCCGUCUGGUUCAAGGCCGGCUCCCAGAUCUUUAGCGAGGGCGGCCUCGACUACCUCGGCAACCCCAGCCUUAUCCAUGCGCAGAGCAUCCUCGCCAUCUGGGCCUGCCAGGUCGUGCUCAUGGGCGCCGUCGAGGGCUACCGCAUUGCCGGCGGCCCACUCGGCGAGGUCGUCGACCCGCUCUACCCCGGCGGCAGCUUCGACCCCCUCGGCCUGGCCGACGACCCUGAGGCCUUCGCCGAGCUCAAGGUCAAGGAGCUCAAGAAUGGCCGCCUCGCCAUGUUCUCCAUGUUCGGAUUCUUCGUCCAGGCCAUCGUCACCGGCAAGGGCCCGCUCGAGAACCUGGCCGACCACCUCGCCGACCCAGUCAACAACAACGCCUGGGCCUACGCCACCAACUUCGUCCCCGGCAACUAAGCUCGCCAUUCGCCUCUGCAACUCCAUUGUCUUCCGGCCGGGAGGGGCGUACGUGGAUUGGUUGAUGCUGCAAGCGAGCUGCCGC